CCUAGAGUCUGGUCCCUCCCAAUCUCCUCUCGGUCCCUCCUAAAAUUUUCCUCUCUAAACCCACCAGCUGCCUCCUCCCUCCCAAUCCCGCCCAAAUCAACCACGACCUCCCCCCCUAAAUGUUGCGCUCCUCCCUCCCAAUCCUGUCUUCUCCCUCAUAUGCCGCCUCAUCUGUCCCAAAUCUUGCUUCUUCCAUCCUAAAUCGAGCUUGGGAGAAGAGGAGCUGCAGAUCCAGACAAGAAAUCUACCAAGUGUGGGAGAGGAGGAGCUGCCUUUAGACCUGGCGCGCGGCCACGGCCAAGCCACGGUCAAGCCCGUGGUGCUGCCAAGUCCCCACUCCUCCCUGUUGUUGCAAAGCCAACACUUGAUUCUGCACUGCCAAAUCUCUGCACAAAGAGGAUUUGUGCGGCUGCCAGAUAAGUUGCUCCUUCAGCUGGUGAAGACUAAAGAAUAAAAAGCUGUACAGAGAAGGGUAUCUGUUGUUGGCAAAUCUGAAGGAAGGAUUUUCAGAUUAUCUUGCUGUGACUGUGCUCAGAACUAGAUAGUGCAAUUUGCAACUUAAAACAUGUCAGUAGAAGAUCGAAACUGGAUGUAUAGUGGUUGGAAAGAUAAUGGUUGUCAUUCUCAAGAGUGGGUUCGCAAUACAGAUGCAUUUUUGGAUCGUGCCUUUCAUAGUGUUCCUAAAUCUGAUAAAUUUGGAGUAGUGUGUCCAUGUUCAGUUUGUCGCAAUAGAA